ACCUAUCAGUAGGAAAUUAUUUUCCUCCACUUUGCAAGACCACAUAACCAAUUUACUAUCAGCGGUCUAUACGAUUAAUUUCUAACUUUGCAGGAUCAUUCUGACUCGGCAUCUGUCACUCUAACAAGUGUUCGUCUUUAAUGUCCUACACUAUAUUCUGCAACAAAAUUUGCCCUGUGUGCAUGAGUACCAAUAAUUUGGGUUAUUUCGUUUUGUUGAAAUGAUGAUAAAAUUGAGUUAAGCGAGUUGGAGCUACUGCACCCCUAGCCUGAGUGGAAUGAGCUCAUGGAGCGCCUCGAAGGCCCCGACAACGGUGGCAGUAGGCAUUGCCAUUAGAUCUGGAGGUAGAGGGAGUCACCACGAGGAGCGGCAACCGAAGACAGGCAGCAUCGACUGUGUCAAGCAAGCUGUAGGAGGCCUGCGCGACUCCUUGCCGAUCACUUGACAGUCCAAGCCUGCAAUAGUGUCGAUUCAGGUAGGCGUGUGGCAUGGCCGAAUCCUGCCCGAUCAAGGCCAACCAAUGGACAUGUUGUAUGCAUCGAUGUCCCAAUCCAGCAGGCAAUACAUGUCUGCAAACAGUCCUGAAAAAAGUCAUUCGAUAAGAAAAAAACUCAGGAAAGUAUGGUGGUUCUACGUCACUAGGCAAAUCAGAGGAGACUACCCAUCUAUAAUGACAGAAUUGUAGUGAUGCAUUCUCUUCCGACAGGCUCCAAAUGAUGGUUAUUCUGUAGGAUUGGGAGAUGGAUGUAUUGUCCUUGUCCGUGCCGUUUGCUUUUGUGGGAAGAAAAAAAUAUUGAGGUAAAGGGGUCUCAUAGCUUGAAGGCGUUUGGUCCAUUGAUGUAGUAACUAACAACUUCGUUUGGCUGCUAAUUGCUUUGCCUGAAAGCUGUCUUUCAAAGUAAUAAUACUCCAUCUGUCAUAAUUUAUGUACUGUAGUUUCAUGGUUCGUAGUGUGGUUUUCGAUGGUGGAUGUGACAUCCGACGAUUGCCGAGGAAGAAAGGUUGCAUUGGCAAAUGGGGCCUCAACAAUCUCUUGUGCCAUUUGAACUUUAAUUUGAUUAUCGAUGAAGCAAGAUAUUCUAGAUUUAUCGAAUCCUAUUUUUUUCAUCAGAUCGAUAUGGUUGUCUGUACGAACUACGGCAUAAGCUUCUUUGAGCAGCUUUUGACGGUGUUUCCAUCUUUUAAUUUCUCAGCAAUUGCAAGUACCAACCUCAGAGUUGAAAAAGUUCUAGGUACAUCUAUUGAAUCGUUGAAGGCUUCCACGCGCCACCUCCUUCUCCCCCUCCUUCGCCGGGUCGAGAAGGGAGCAGCGACGAAGCAGAGGUAGACGUGGACACGUGGUAGGAGCCAAGGGGGGAACGGGGAAAGGCGGACGCGAGAUCCGUGAAGCCAGAGAAGGUACGUGAGCUUGUCCACCGCAGGCUAUAGCUCCAAAAUCGGCGGUGUCAGCCGCCACCAGUGCCACCGUGUUCGCCUCCGGCUGGCCUGGUAGCAACAAAAGUAUGGCUGCAGGUGUGGUUCAUUCAGUUUUGUAGUUCGAUUUACUUGCUUGUGCAUAUGUGCGUGUAUACUGAGAGAGAGGGAGAGAUUAUUCUGUUCUAGCAGUCAUAUUUCUGUCGCAAAUCUGCUCCCCUCCACUCCUUUUUCAUUUAACUGAAAUCUGAAUGUGAAAAGCAGUUGCAAAUUAAGAGCAGCAGAGUAAAUGUUCAAAAGUUCAGAGCAGGUGCAUGUUUUUGAGA